GACGAACGCUGGCGGCGUGCCUAAUACAUGCAAGUCGAACGCACUCUCGUUUAGAUUGAAGGAGCUUGCUCCUGAUUGAUAAACAUUUGAGUGAGUGGCGGACGGUGAGUAACACGUGGGUAACCUGCCCUAAAGUGGGGGAUAACAUUUGGAAACAGAUGCUAAUACCGCAUAAAACCUAAACACCGCAUGGUGUAGGGUUGAAAGAUGGUUUCGGCUAUCACUUUAGGAUGGACCCGCGGUGCAUUAGUUAGUGGUGAGGUAAAGGCUCACCAAGACCGUGAUGCAUAGCCGACCUGAGAGGGUAAUCGGCCACACUGGGACUGAGACACGGCCCAGACUCCUACGGGAGGCAGCAGUAGGGAAUCUUCCACAAUGGACGAAAGUACUGAUGGAGCAACGCCGCGUGAGUGAAGAAGGUUUUCGGAUCGGUAAAAACUCUGUUGUUGGAGAAGAAUGUAUCUGAUAGUAACUGAUCAGGUAGUGACGGUAU
rnacentral:rRNA from 1 species